rnacentral:rRNA from 1 species
UCUCGCGACAAUAGCAAGUAGGAACCACCUGAUCCCAUCCCGAACUCAGAAGUGAAACUACUCAGCGCCGAUGGUAGUGUGGGGUCUCCCCAUGUGAGAGUAGGACAUCGCGAGGC